GAUGAACGCUGGCGGCGCGCCUAACACAUGCAAGUCGAACGAUUAAAGCACCUUCGGGUGUGUAUAAAGUGGCGAACGGCUGAGUAACACGUGGGCAACCUGCCCCUUUCAUUGGGAUAGCCACGGGAAACCGUGGAUAAUACCGAAUACUUCGAGACUUCCGCAUGGAAGACUCGAGAAAGCUCCGGCGGAGAGGGAUGGGCCCGCGGCCUGUUAGCUUGUUGGUGGGGUAACGGCCUACCAAGGCAAUGAUGGGUAGCUGGGUUGAGAGACCGACCAGCCAGAUUGGGACUGAGACACGGCCCAGACUCCUACGGGAGGCAGCAGUGGGGAAUCUUGCACAAUGGGCGAAAGCCUGAUGCAGCGACGCCGCGUGCGGGAUGAAGGCCUUCGGGUGGUAAACCGCUUUCAGCAGGGACGAGGCGAAAGUGACGGUACCUGCAGAAGAAGCCCCGGCUAACUACGU
rnacentral:rRNA from 1 species